AUAAAGAAAAAAAACUUAAGAAAAUGUAAAAUUAUUUUUGACGAGUCUCAGAUAAUAGUUAAUAUUGAUUAGUAAGAAUUAGAAAAUAUGUUGGGUAGUCAUAAAUGGAAAUUGCUAAAAAACUACCCUUUUAUCCCCUAAUUUGUUCAAAUAUCAUUCAGUUUCUUACUUUUUUUAUUUUUUUAUUUCUGUCUGUAUACGUUUUGAACAAAUUGAAUAUAAUCAUUAAAUAUGAAAUAAUAAUAAAAUACUUAAGUAACGAAACAUUUCGUACAUAUAUCACAUUGCAAGAUUAAAAUUCAACGUGAUAUAAAUUUAUGUGAUUAUGUGACUAUAAUACGUUUAUAAGACUUUAAAAAUGUCAUUUCCUUCCGGGGAUAAAUUUUCGAUGUAUUUUACAAAGUAAAAAUGUAUCUUUCACAAAUUUAAUGAACACGCAUGUACUAUUCCAAUUUACAUUUAUAGCACAUGACUUAGAGAUUUAUUGGUGUGAUAAGUCAAUAUUUCAACUUUGAUGAAGUCAAAAUUCCAGAAAAGUAAACAAAAUAGUUUUGUAAUCAGUCUUAUAAACGUCAUGAAAAUAAAAUACAUGGUAUAAUGAUUUAUAGAGAGAAUUGUACAUAUGUAAAGGUAUUUCAUUUUGAUGUAAAUGUAGACAUAUAAAAGAGAUCACCGUCUGAAAUUCUAAUUAGAAGCUCGAAUACUUUUUCAAAUUUUGAAAAGAGCUUAUAACCAAUUUAUUCUAAAUGAUAUCUGACAUUUUAUCUUAUGUAACGCACGCAGUGCUUGCACUUUUUCUUUUAAUUUCAAUGGCAUUUGCACGUCCUUCCAGAGAAGAGGAUCAUCAUGUGGAGAACGAUGAGAGGUGGGGCUAAAUAUAUUGAAAGGACGUAUCUAUUUCUAUUCAUCCGAAUUGAGCAUGGUUUUUCUGAGAGUAUAUGAUUCUUCAUAUAUGAUGAUCCAGCUUUGUUACAAGAACAUUGAUUUCACGUGUAUAGAAAAGCAAUAAAUGUGCAAUUAAAAAAAUGUUUGAAGCAUCUUCUUUAUUUUCUCUUCU